rnacentral:rRNA from 1 species
UUGGAGGGCAAGUCUGGUGCCAGCAGCCGCGGUAAUUCCAGCUCCAAUAGCGUAUAUUAAAGUUGUUGCAGUUAAAAAGCUCGUAGUUGAAUUUCGGGAUUGACGUGAUGGUCAUGCCUUAAGGGGUAUGAACUGUUACUGUUGAUUUCUCACCUUCUGGAGAAACUUGAUGUCCUUUAUUGGGUGUCUUGCGGAUCCAGGACCUUUACCUUGAAAAAAUUAGAGUGUUUAAAGCAGGCAUUUUUGCUCGAAUACAUUAGCAUGGAAUAAUAGAAUAGGACGGCAUGGUUCUAUUUUGUUGGUUUCUAGAAUCACCGUAAUGAUUAAUAGGGAUAGUUGGGGGCAUUAGUAUUCAAUUGUCAGAGGUGAAAUUCUUGGAUUUAUUGAAGACUAACUACUGCGAAAGCAUUUGCCAAGGAUGUUUUCAUUAAUCAAGAACGGAAGUUAGGGGAUCGAAGACGAUCAGAUACCGUCGUAGUCUUAACCAUAAACUAUGCCGACUAGGAAUCAGACGAUGUUAAUUUUUUAAUGACUCGUUUGGCACCUUACGGGAAACCAAAG